rnacentral:rRNA from 1 species
UUUGAUCAUGGCUCAAAUUGAACGCUGGCGGCUUGCCUUACCCUUGCAAGUCAAACGGCAGCACGGGUGCUUGCACUUGGGGGCGAGGGGCGAACGGGUGAGUAAUGCAUCGAAACGUACCAUUGAGGGGGGAAUAACGUACCGAAAGUUACCCUAAUACCGCAUAUUCUCUCCGGAGGAAAGCAGGGAAUCGCAAAACCUUGCGCUCUUUGAGCGGCCAAUGUCGAAUUACCUAGUUGGGGGGGUAAAGGCCUACCAAGGCUACAAUCCGUAGCGGGUCUGAAAGGAUGAUCCGCCACACUGGGACUGAAACACGGCCCAAACUCCUACGGGAGGCAGCAGUGGGAAAUUUUGGACAAUGGGGGCAACCCUGAUCCACCCAUGCCGCGUGAGUGAAAAAGGCCUUCGGGUUGUAAAGCUCUUUCGGCUGGAAAAAAAUCGCAUAGGUUAAUACCCUGUGCGGAUGACGGUACCAGCAUAAAAAGCACCGGCUAACUACGU